GAAAUUGCCGUGAUCAGGAGUAGUAAGGGUUCAUUCUGUGCAGAGAGCUGCGGUUGGGUGCGACGCAGUCAGGAGAGCCCCUGAACUCACCUGUGAGCUUCGAGACGGAACCGAGUAGAGGAUUUCACCGCAGUACGUCUGGACGGUUGACCUCCGUUAUCGGGUGUUGCCCAGUGCGGCAACGUGAGUGAGUUUUGCGUAGUAAAGUGCGCGAAGCUAAGCAGAGUGGUACCGCGGAAGGCCAUGGCCUGUCGUCUCUAGC
rnacentral:ncRNA from 1 species